AACAGCUAGUAGUUUAAAUUAAAAUAUUAGUUUUGGAGACUAAAGAUAUAAGUUAAUUUCUUGCU
rnacentral:tRNA from 1 species